GAUGAAGAACGUAGCGAAAUGCGAUAAGUAACGUGAAUUGCAGAAUUCAGUGAAUCAUCGAAUCUUUGAACGCACAUUGCGCCCGCCAGCAUUCUGGCGGGCAUGCCUGUUCGAGCGUCAUUUCAACCCUCGACAUCCCCUUGGGGAAGUCGGCGUUGGGGACCGGCAGCACACCGCCGGCCCCGAAAUUGAGUGGCGGCCCGUCCGCGGCGACCUCUGCGUAGUAAUCCAACCUCGCACCGGAACCCCGACGUGGCCACGCCGUAAAACACCCAACUUUCUGAACGUUGACCUCGGAUCAGGUAGGAAUACCCGCUGAACUUAAGCAUAUCAAUAAGCGGAGGA
rnacentral:misc_RNA from 1 species